rnacentral:tRNA from 1 species
AUCUAUAUAGUUUAAUUAAAACAUUACAUUUUCACUGUAAAAAUAAUAUACGAAUAUUUAUAGAUA